rnacentral:rRNA from 1 species
CUCGUAGACUCCUACGGGAGGCAGCAGUGGGGAAUAUUGCACAAUGGGGGAAACCCUGAUGCAGCCAUGCCGCGUGUGUGAAGAAGGCCUUCGGGUUGUAAAGCACUUUCAGUAGGGAGGAAGGUAGUGUAGUUAACACCUGCAUUAUUUGACGUUACCUACAGAAGAAGCACCGGCUAACUCCGUGCCAGCAGCCGCGGUAAUACGGAGGGUGCGAGCGUUAAUCGGAAUUACGUGGGCGUAAAGCGCAUGCAGGCGGCCUGUUAAGUCAGAUGUGAAAGCCCCGGGGCUUAACCUCGGAAUUGCAUUUGAAACUGGCAGGCUAGAGUCUUGUAGAGGGGGUAGAAUUUCAGGUGUAGCGGUGAAAUGCGUAGAGAUCUGAAGGAAUACCAGUGGCGAAGGCGGCCCCCUGGACAAAGACUGACGCUCAGAUGCGAAAGCGUGGGGAGCAAACAGGAUUAGAUACCCUGGUAG